rnacentral:rRNA from 1 species
CAGGAUGAACGCUAGCUACAGGCUUAACACAUGCAAGUCGAGGGGCAGCAUAUUUAUAGCAAUAUAAAUGAUGGCGACCGGCGCACGGGUGAGUAACACGUAUCCAACCUGCCGUUUACUCGGGGAUAGCCUUUCGAAAGAAAGAUUAAUACCCGAUGGUAUAUAUUGAUUUCAUGGUCUUUAUAUUAAAGAAUUUCGGUAAACGAUGGGGAUGCGUUCCAUUAGGCAGUUGGCGGGGUAACGGCCCACCAAACCUACGAUGGAUAGGGGUUCUGAGAGGAAGGUCCCCCACAUUGGAACUGAGACACGGUCCAAAC